CACGAUCACUUCCAUGGCAACCGAUUCUGAUGUCUCCGGCUCUUUAACUUUCUCCAAAUUCAUAGACACCUAGAGCUAAAAGGGAGCCCCAGAGGUCAUCUAGCCCAGCCCGUGUGCUGACACCUCAACUCGCCCUGACAGGUAAUCAGUUUCGCCUCUGCUGAAACCCACUCUGGCUGGCAGCUCCAGCUGGACAUUGUAAGACUCCUUAGGCCGAGUCCCAAAGAACUGAAGGCCGUCAUCAGGAUAAAGGAAAAGGGCAUAGGUGUCGGAGUCAUCGUAGGCUAAGACUGCCUGGAAGGUGUUCCGCUGCAGAAGAAAGCAACAUCACAAAUGUACGGGAGACUUGUUAAACGGAGGAGGCUCGGAUGCGGGAGUCACCGUGAGAGAAAACCCUGGAAUGAGGGACACAAACUGACCUCAGCUACAUGAGACUUUGGUUUUGAUGCAAUUAGUUCACAGCAAUUCAAAAUAAGGGCACAUCAAGGGGGUUUGGAACUCUGGGACCAGACUGGGUGACAUCUCCGGUGAUGAAAACGUGAGAGGUAGGGACAACGGCUCGGAUUUCGCAGGAGAGUUAUACCUGAAAGUCUCUGGGAAUUGGGCAUCUCAUUCCCUUGGAAAAUCCCACUCAACGUGCUUAGCCAGAAAAUCUGUCAACAGCAACCCUCUCUUAUCCCCUUCCCCCUGUAUGUCCAGCAUUAGAAUGAUUACAGCC